UACGAAGGGGGGCUAGCGUUGUUCGGAAUUACUGGGCGUAAAGCGCACGUAGGCGGAUAUUUAAGUCAGGGGUGAAAUCCCAGAGCUCAACUCUGGAACUGCCUUUGAUACUGGGUAUCUUGAGUAUGGAAGAGGUGAGUGGAAUUCCGAGUGUAGAGGUGAAAUUCGUAGAUAUUCGGAGGAACACCAGUGGCGAAGGCGGCUCACUGGUCCAUUACUGACGCUGAGGUGCGAAAGGCGUGGGGAGCAAACAGG
rnacentral:rRNA from 1 species